rnacentral:rRNA from 1 species
UUCCAGACUCCUACGGGAGGCAGCAGUGAGGAAUAUUGGUCAAUGGUCGGGAGACUGAACCAGCCAAGCCGCGUGAGGGAUGAAGGUACAGAGUAUCGUAAACCUCUUUUGUCAGGGAACAAAGGCGGGGACGUGUCCCCGGAUGAGUGUACCUGAAGAAAAAGCAUCGGCUAACUCCGUGCCAGCAGCCGCGGUAAUACGGAGGAUGCGAGCGUUAUCCGGAUUUAUUGGGUUUAAAGGGUGCGUAGGUGGUUAAUUAAGUCAGCGGUGAAAGUUUGUGGCUCAACCAUAAAAUUGCCGUUGAAACUGGUUGACUUGAGUAUAUUUGAGGUAGGCGGAAUGCGUGGUGUAGCGGUGAAAUGCAUAGAUAUCACGCAGAACUCCGAUUGCGAAGGCAGCAUACCGGCGCGCAACUGACGCUCAUGCACGAAAGCGUGGGUAUCGAACAGGAUUAGAUACCCCAGUA